rnacentral:piRNA from 1 species
CCUAGGCCAGUUUUGUACACACUCUU